ACCUCGGCAGUGUAGUGGUAGUAGGUGGCCCCCCAUAAGGGUGACACGCGGGUUCGAUCUCCCGCCCGAGGCA